UACGGAGGAUGCAAGCGUUAUCCGGAUUUAUUGGGUUUAAAGGGUGCGCAGGUUGUUUGAUAAGUCAGUGGUGAAAGUCUGUCGCUUAACGGUAGGAUUGCCAUUGAUACUGUUGGACUUGAAUAUGGAUGAGGUAGGCGGAAUGUGUAGUGUAGCGGUGAAAUGCAUAGAUAUUACACAGAACACCGAUUGCGAAGGCAGCUUACUAAUCCAUCAUUGACGCUGAGGCACGAAGGCGUGGGGAUCAAACAGGA
rnacentral:rRNA from 1 species